UUGUCCUAUUGACCAAUGGUAUCACGGCACGUCACGGUGGUGGUGGUGGUGGUGGUGGGAUAGGAGGCAGGCUGGCAGGGAGACCUCAUCACGGCUCACUCCUCAGUUCAUACUUGACCACCGCGGUGGACUGUGAGUGUAAAUACUAUAGCUGGGUUUAUUUUACUUCAGUUUUACGUGUACAGGACAAUACAGCGGCGCAGAUUGUGUUCCUAUGGAUUUUUUUAUUACUGUAGUGUUGGCAGCGUGUGGAGUGUGGCAGAACGGCAGAGGUCACACAGCAGCUCAUCCCACAGCAGGCUGCCCUCCCCUGUGCCGCCACCACCACCACCACCACUACCAGUGAGGGAGGAGGCAGAGGUACAGCUCACCAAAUUGUCAGAUGAUGGAGAGAAGAAUUUUCUCACCUUGAAGAUAGAGGAGAAGAGCAAACUGGAGGAAACCAACUGGGAGGAGGAGGAAAAACUUUGCUCCAGUCUAAUGGAGAGAGAGAGAGAGAGAGAGAGAGAGAGAGAGAGAGAGAGAGAGAGAGAGAGAGAGAGAGAGAGAGAGAGAGAGAAGGAAAAUUCACAGGAGCAAAGGUCAGUCAGUCUCUCUCUCUCUCUCUCUCUCUCUCUCUCUCUCUCUCUCUCUCUCUCUCUCUCUCUCUCUCUCUCUCUCUCUCUCUCUCUCUCCCUUGCCCCUACAGAUUCCCACGCUGCUGUACCACGGGAUGGAGAGUGAGAGAGUGGAGAAGAGGGAGCUGAUCAGAAGGGCUGUGGAAGUGGAAGGGUGCCCUGUCCGAGUCCUGCCAGUCCUGUUAUGACGUCCUAUGAGGGAGAAGACAACAUCGAGUACUUUUUGGGCCUCACACCAGCUGGGGUCGUUGUACUCAAAAAUAAGGCGAAAGUGGGGAAUUAUUUUUGUCCGAGAAUUUCCAAGGUGUAUUUUCGUGGGAGAUUUUUCAGAGUGAAAGAUAAAAAUAGCUUGGAGAACACCUACGGCUUGGAGACACCCAGUAAGUCAGCCUGUAAACACCUGUGGCAGUGCUUCUUCAGAUUGACUCAAGCUUCUGGGAAUUCUACGGAUGCUGUCUUCUCCCUUGGAGCUAAGAUUGGGUCACAGCAAGAAGGAUGGUGAGGUGAGGCAGGCCAGGCUCAACUCAAGGAUGCAGCCAGAAUUUACAAGGAUGCCAAGUAGGAGAUACCCAGUAAGUCAGCCUGUAAACACCUGUAGCAGUCUCCCUGCCCCUCCCUGCCUCCCCCAGAGCUUGGAGAACACCUACGGCGUGGAGACACCCAGUAAGUCAGCCUGUAAACACCUGUGGCAGUUCUGUGUUGAGCAUCACGCCUUCUUCAGAUUAACUCAAGCUUCUGGGAAUUCUGCAGAUGCUGUCUUCUCCCUCAGAGGAGGAUUGUGGAAAGUGCACAGGACAGCAAAACAUUUUUCGAUCAAGUUCUAUGACGUUAGGGGGUCGCAGCUCCUCCCCCCACAGCACCAGUUCAGCCUCGCAUCCCCCCAUUACCACCACCACCACCACCACCAGGGUACAAGGAGAGAGUCUCAAGUCCCUCCAGUCAACUACUAUUACUACUACUUCUGGUGGUCAUGACUAUUGGGUGUUGAGAAGGGCCUCCAGUGUGGAUAGUCAGUUGUCGGUGGACUCCAGGGCUCACAGAUCAGGCAGCAGCAAGCCUCAGUGGGCCCAGGUCACAGUGGGUCACACUCAGGUCAGAGGUCACAUGGCCACAGUGCACGACCUGACACACAAGAGUGGGUACCACCCUUCAGGUGUGGACACGGAGGUUGACUCCCUCCACCACCACCACCACCACCACCACUCGGCUAACAAGAAACAACAUCACAAACACCGUAACUCCAGUGAUUGGAAGGCUACCCUCCCCCUGUGGAUGGAGAGAGCCCUCCCCUCCAUACACGCCAUCCACGCACUCCAAGAACCAUACACUUCCGAAGGGCUGCAGUAAGGUGCAUGUGUGUGUGUGUGUGUGUGUGUGUGUGUGUGUGUGUGUGUGUGUGUGUGUGUGUGUGUGUGUGUUGUUGUUGUUGUUGUUGUUGUUGUUGUUGUUGUUGUUGUUGUUGUUGCUGUUGUUGCUGUUGUUGUUGUUGUUGUUGUUGUUGUUGUUGUUGUUGUUGUUUUGCAGGAGGGGACAGUGGAGGGAAGAAUACCAGAUGGAGCUGUAGGAGGCAGAGAAGGAGGAGGAGGAGGAGGAGGAGGAGGAGGCUUCAGCUCAAAGGCAUUAUAUUGUAAAAAAAAAAAUGUGUGUGUGUGUCCAGUUCUUCC